UGGCCUCCCUAGGUUUGAACCAUCAAACAAAAAUCCUCUUCCAAGCUAUGUUCCCGAGGGUUCCUUUAUAGUCAGGGCGCAUACACCAUUGUCAAAUUUAUUUUCCUGUCUUUGGUUUAAUGAAGUUGAUAGAUUUACAUCCCGUGAUCAAUUAAGCUUUGCUUAUACUUAUUUGAAGGUCAGGAGAAUGAAUCCAGAUAAACCAUUUCAUCUAUAUAUGUUCAAGGAUUGCGAACGUAGAGCAUUGCUGAAGCUAUUCCGGCACAGGACAGGUCCAUCUCCACCAGGGACUGCUUGAACAGUUCCACCUCUAGAUUGCUUGGUCAAUUCCAUCUCCUUAAGGUUCCUUUUGUUUCCACUUGAGAAUAUAUUGGUCAUUUUGAUUGUUCAGUGUCAUCGUUAGAAUUCAAAUCAACGUGUAACUGCGGACUUUUUGUACCCCAGGGAUCCAAAUCCCAAGGGAUGCACACUGAAGAGAAAGGUAAUUAUACUUGACAUCCCUUCCAGCAUGACUAGUAUCAUUUUCAUGUGUAUGUUUUAAGCUGGAUCAGAGAAAGGCAAACUCAACUAUAGCAAAAGCGGAUUCUUGAUCUUCUUGCAUCUGUGGUUAAAAAGUGAUUCCUGAUGCAUUAUUGUUGCCAAUAGUCGGGGUCCAAUGGAAGACCUUGUGAGCGUAAGGGCAAGUUGAUCAACGUUUUAGUCUGUUCAGCUUCCUUGUGUUUUGAGUUAAUUAUGGAGGAAUAGAUGAUUUUACUAACAUGUGAAGUUAGUGGCUUAGUAGAGGUUAUCAGUUAGAGGCUUAACGCUGGAGGUAACAACUUUAAGUAAAUUGCCCAUACAUUUUGGUCAAUCAGGAAUUUUCCUUUUGUAACGCGCCCCGAUAUGAAAGCAAUGAACUACUUUGAUUCAUAGCCAUUGUAUUGCAAAGUAUUAAUAACAUGUUUUUAAUAAUA